GCAGUCGAGGGGUAACAGGGAGCUUGCUCCGCUGACGACCGGCGCACGGGUGCGCACCGCGUAUGGAACCUACCUUGUACAGGGGAAUAGCCCAGGGAAACUUGGAUUAAUGCCCCGUGGUACCAUGACCCGGCAUCGGGAUAUGGUUAAAGCCUUCGGGCGGUACAAGAUGGCCAUGCGUCCCAUUAGUUUGUUGGUAAGGUAACGGCUUACCAAGACUACGAUGGGUAGGGGCCCUGAGAGGGGGAUCCCCCACACUGGUACUGAGACACGGACCAGACUCCUACGGGAGGCAGCAGUGAGGAAUAUUGGACAAUGGAGGAGACUCUGAUCCAGCCAUGCCGCGUGCAGGAAGAAUGCCCUAUGGGUAGUAAACUGCUUUUAUACGGGAAGAAAAAGAGCUACGUGUAGCUUACUGACGGUACCGUAAGAAUAAGGACCGGCUAACUCCGUGCCAGCAGCCGCGGUAAUACGGAGGGUCCGAGCGUUAUCCGGAAUUAUUGGGUUUAAAGGGUCCGUAGGCGGGCCGAUAAGUCAGGGGUGAAAGUCUGCCGCUCAACGGUAGAACUGCCUUUGAUACUGUCGGUCUUGAGUUAUAGUGAAGUUGCCGGAAUAUGUAGUGUAGCGGUGAAAUGCAUAGAUAUUACAUAGAACACCGAUUGCGAAGGCAGGUGACUAACUAUAUACUGACGCUGAUGGACGAAAAGCGUGGGGAGCGAACAGGAUUAGAUACCCUGGUAGUCCACGCCGUAAACGAUGGAUACUAGCUGUCCGGAACCUUGAGUUCUGGGCGGCCAAGCGAAAGUGAUAAGUAUCCCACCUGGGGAGUACGUUCGCAAGAAUGAAACUCAAAGGAAUUGACGGGGGCCCGCACAAGCGGUGGAGCAUGUGGUUUAAUUCGAUGAUACGCGAGGAACCUUACCAGGGCUUAAAUGCAUAUUGACAGGUCUAGAGAUAGAUUUUCCUUCGGGCAAUUUGCAAGGUGCUGCAUGGUUGUCGUCAGCUCGUGCCGUGAGGUGUCAGGUUAAGUCCUAUAACGAGCGCAACCCCUACCGUUAGUUGCCAGCAUGUCAUGAUGGGGACUCUAACGGGACUGCCGGUGCAAACCGUGAGGAAGGUGGGGAUGACGUCAAAUCAUCACGGCCCUUACGUCCUGGGCCACACACGUGCUACAAUGGCAGGUACAGAGAGCAGCCAUGUCGCAAGGCAGAGCGAAUCUAUAAAACCUGUCACAGUUCGGAUCGGGGUCUGCAACUCGACCCCGUGAAGCUGGAAUCGCUAGUAAUCGGAUAUCAGCCAUGAUCCGGUGAAUACGUUCCCGGGCCUUGU
rnacentral:rRNA from 1 species